GGUAUAGUGGUUUAGUGGUUUGAGCGUAGGACAUGAACUCUGGAGAUCAGGGUUCGAUUCCUUGCUUGGCCA